UUUGCUUUCUUUCCUUCUUUUACCAUCUGAAUGCUGUUGAAUAUGACACUUCCUUCUGUAAUGUAUCCUUCCGAAGUGUUGUUGGUACUGCAAAAGUAAAAGAUGUUUAUCCUUCUAAUAAGAUAAAACUUAUAGAUUGCACUUUAUUUCAAAUUUUACUUUGAAGAGAUGACUUUUUCCUUUAUAUUCAUAUAUUCUGGAAAUAGAAUCAUCAUGCUCUUUUGUCCCUUCUACCUGAUAUUGGUGUCGUGUUUCUUCCCUGUAUAGACUGCAGUUCCUUUCUAAUUUUAAGCUUUUGGUGAGUUUUUCGACACGUCAUUUCCCUUCAUGUAAGGACUCCUCUUGGACUCCUCUUA
rnacentral:lncRNA from 1 species